rnacentral:rRNA from 1 species
UACGUAGGGCGCGAGCGUUGUCCGGAAUUAUUGGGCGUAAAGAGCUCGUAGGCGGCUUGUCACGUCGGGUGUGAAAGACCGGGGCUUAACUCCGGUUCUGCAUUCGAUACGGGCUAGCUAGAGUGUGGUAGGGGAGAUCGGAAUUCCUGGUGUAGCGGUGAAAUGCGCAGAUAUCAGGAAGAACACCGUGGCGAAGGCGGCUCUCUGGGACGGUACUGACGCUGAGACGCGAAAGCGUGGGGAGCGAACAGG